UAUAUAGUUGAAAUAUACUUAAUUCAUAAUGGAAAUGCAUUUAUUCCAUACUCUGAAUAUAGUCUAUCAAUUCAUACUUGUGCAAUAUGUUUUAAAUACAUCUAAUUCACAAGGGAAAACAGUUAAUGUAUAAGAUAUAUUCAGAUUAAACUCAAAAAGCUCUCAGCUUAUACAUCUAGUCUAUACAUUUGAACACAAUCAUUUGGAUUCAAUUCGAGCCCAAACAACAAAUGUGUGUGUCCUUUGUUAGGAGAAAAGAUAAAGGGUUGCGAACAAGGUGCAUGAACACCUGUCCAGCAGCAAACGCUUGUUCUAUUUCAUUUAGACUUUAGGACGGUAUUCAUAGUGAUGGAAAAUGGUAAAGCUUAUUCAAGACCGAUUAUAUAGAGGUAGCUAAUGCAUUUCUUCGCCAUUUUCUGUAUACCUAAUGAGCUAUCUAUUGUGUGAAGUAAGUUACAUGUAUGUAAACUAGAAGGGUGUUCUAUUUUCGGAGCGCCUAUGUGGAGCAUGAUUCAUAGAAGGUUCAAUGAAUUUCUCCUGACGUGCAAAUGUUCAGUAUCAUCUGUUGGACUAACACCUGCGUUGGUAGCUUACCUCCACGUCGACAGACGCCCACUAACACCAGCGCCGGGGCAAGCACCCUAGGGGUGUUAAACUCAUGACCAGCGGGUGGGUUUACACCAGGGGUUCAAACUCAUGUCAAAAAAGGGAAACUGAAGUUGGUCAUAAACGCUCCGCGGGAGAACAAGAAGAAUUAUUAGCUUGAGAAAAUGUAUCAUAAACUGUAACAACUCAUGACUAACGCAUAUACAAGUACAUACAACCAGACAGCUAUCAAGAAUGUGCCUAUAUAGCCGUCAAGAGGGGAGCUGAAACGAAAAUUGACCCUCGAAGGGUUGGAGUUUGACAUCCCUGACUUAACAUUUCUGAUUUAAAUGUAGCAUCACUGACAGAUCCCGGGUAGACACAUUAUGAUUCCAUAGGAUAUACCUUUGUUCUGUAUAAAGCUUGCAAUAUUCCUUUGCUUUUUUCCCCCUUUUCCGGCGAUUUGUAAGCCAAAAGUCGUUAUUUGUUUUCUAAUAUUGCUUGUUGAUUCUCUUUUCCUCCCUCUUCCAGAAAUUACUUAUUAUCAUCCUGGUACAAAGACCAGACGUUGCAUUACAAACAGGCGCAAUAUUGUUGGAUGGUGGCCAGUAGAUAUCUCUUUUCACACGCAGCAACCCUCUUCCGAACUUACGCGUGUGAAGAGAUUAAAAUCACUUCUCUUCUCAAGACGGGCCAUCACCAAUCCUCGUGAAUGGUGUCGUUGGAAAGGAUCGGAAUGCGUAUAACAAGGAAGUAUAAGAACUGACACCAAGCGCACCCUGUAGAAGGAAAUGCAAUCGCUGGCAAAGUGAAGCUGCGAAGUAGAAUAGCGUGAAGCCAGGGGUUGUGUGGUCGCUCUUGCACCGGGGACAACCAAACAGCACAAAGCAACCAUUGCAAGGGCAUGCGAACGUAAAAAUCCGGCUACAACCAAAUGAUGAUUAAACGUAUAAACAAAACCUUGAAACAUGCGCCUGACCCCUGUGGAAAGUGAGCAAGGACUACCGGGCCAAGUUAAAGAAGUUAAUCCGCCUUAAAGUGGGUAUCUUAAAUAUCGGAACAAUGGCUGGAAAGGGAAGAGAGGUGGCAGACUUGAUAGAGAGGAGGGUGUGCUCUGCGUGCAGUAGACUAGUUGGAGGGGAAAUAAGGCGAGAGAUCGAUGCGAUUGAGAUUUGCGAAGUUCUAGCUUCGCCCGGGCCUUCCAUAUAUGGCCCGGGCUCACUUACCGAAUAAUCAUACAAGUGUUUGUUCACAAUACAAACGUUUGCUCAUAUGACACCUGUCUCCGUCAUAGGUUCAUCCCCUGUAUAGCUCUGCUCCUUUUGUUUGUGUUUAAUUUUUGUUUUUAUCCUCUUGUAAAUUGUAUUAUAAACAUAGUGUUUACAUCUAUUACCUGAAAAGCUCUGCUUCCAAAAAGCUAACUUAAAGCAACAAAAUAUUUCACCCACAUCAGACACGUUAAAGAUCAGCAAGGAACAGUUUUGAGCGAGGAGGAUAAGAUGCUGAUGUGUAAAUAAUGUACUAUAUGUUAUAUUAUUGUUUGUACUAAAUUCAGUUUUGGCUAUAAAUAAAUGUUUCAAUGUUUCAGCACCUGAAAGAGAUUUGAAAUUGUAAGGUCAUAAAUGAAGAGGCAGUGGCGGCGCAGCAUAAGUAGCGCAUAAGUAGUUGGUGCUGGAUUGCGAGAUGGAGUGUGGAAUUCGGAAAAGGCAUAAACAGGCAGAGCGUAAAAUCAAGUGGUGGAGGUAGAAGGAGAGUAACCUGAAAAUGGGUUUAAAAGAAACCGGGCUGGAACGUGCGAGGGAUUUGUUAUUAUUAUAAUCGUUAUAAUGAUACUACUGCUACUACUACUAUUACUACUACUACAACAACAACUGUGGUGGGAGUAAUAAGGGAGGUUGGACAAGUGUUAAGCAAACAUCUGGUAAGGGAGCCCAUAGAGGUAACGAAACUUGCUGGUGGUACAAAGAGGUGCAAAGGGUGACUAAUGAAAAGAAAGAGGCAAAGAAGAGAUGGGAGAAAUCUGGUUUGUAGGGAGAUUGAGAAGAGUGGAAGAGAGCAACCAAGAGGGCGAAAAAGGAGGUGGCAAUUGCGAAGUCGAGAAUGAGCUAGAAACACCGGGGGAGAAAGAAAUUUGUAUAGGACAGAGUAAGGGACAAAGCAUCAACACACAUGAGGCAGGUUAUAGAUCAGCAAGGAACAGUUUUGAAUGAAUAACUAGAGAAGUAAGGAAAGCUUUAAAGAAAACGAAAAACAACAAAGCCACAGUACCAGACAAUAUCCCGGCAAAAGUGUGGAAGAGUUUAGAACAUGUGGGAUCUGAUGCAAAAGACCUACCAGAAGAUACCACUAGAAUGGAAAGAUAGUGCAAUAGUUAGGAGACAUUACAGGGGUAUCAAAAUGAUGUCACGCACUAUGAAAAUUUGGGAAAGAAUAAUAGAGAGUAGGCUAAGAGAAGAAACAACCGUGGGAAACGAGCAGUUUGACUUCAUGUCAGAUAGAGGGAUGACAGACGCCAUCUUUGCACUUAGGCAAAUGAUAGAAAAGCAGAGAGAAGAGGGAUUUGCGUAUGGUCUUCGUGGACUUGGGAAGGGCGUAUGAUAAAGUGCCUAGGCAAGAAGCAUGGAGGUGCAUGAGGGAAAAGGGGGUAGCAGAAUAGUAUGUGAGAUUAGGCCAAGAUACGUAUGAGGGAGCAAAACCGAGAGUAAGAAGCAGUGUGGGAGUCGCAGGUUGGAUAUCCGUAAGAGUGGGAUGUUCUUUCUGAACAUCGUUUGCAGACGACAUAGUUAUCUGCUCUAACAAAAGAGGAGAGACCGAAAGGAAACUAGAGUAUUGGGGAAUGGCUUUGGAAGACAGACAAUUAAAAGUCGGUAGGAAGAAGACUGUGUGGGAUUCAUCUGCGAUAAAAGUGAGGGAAAGAUUACGCUGCUUGAUAACACCUUGAAAAGAGCUGGAACCAUUAAAUACCUCAGUUCAACAGUGGCGGAAAACCAAGGAUGAUAAUGUGAGAGGCGAUCUGAGAGAAAAGGGUUGGAGACAGGAGGGCCUGGAGGCAACUCAUCAAAAACGUCGAGUAAAAGAUUGUUUAUUAUUAUUAUCAUUAUUAUUAUUAUUGUUAUUGUUAUUGUUAUUGUUAUUGUUAUUGUUAUUA